rnacentral:rRNA from 1 species
GACGAACGCUGGCGGCGUGCUUAACACAUGCAAGUCGAACGGAAAGGCCCUGCUUUUGUGGGGUGCUCGAGUGGCGAACGGGUGAGUAACACGUGAGUAACCUGCCCUUGACUUUGGGAAAACUUCAGGAAACUGGGGCUAAUACCGGAUAGGAGCUCCUGCUGCAUGGUGGGGGUUGGAAAGUUUCGGCGGUUGGGGAUGGACUCGCGGCUUAUCAGCUUGUUGGUGGGGUAGUGGCUUACCAAGGCUUUGACGGGUAGCCGGCCUGAGAGGGUGACCGGCCACAUUGGGACUGAGAUACGGCCCAGACUCCUACGGGAGGCAGCAGUGGGGAAUAUUGCACAAUGGGCGGAAGCCUGAUGCAGCAACGCCGCGUGCGGGAUGACGGCCUUCGGGUUGUAAACCGCUUUCGCCUGUGACGAAGCGUGAGUGACGGUAAUGGGUAAAGAAGCACCGGCUAUCUACGUG